CCAGUAGUCAUAUGCUUGUCUCAAAGAUUAAGCCAUGCAUGUCUAAGUCCAAGCUGUGUUCACACGGCGAGACCGCGGACGGCUCAUUAAAUCAGUCGUGGUCCAAAUGGGCCAGUGCAAAUCCUACUUGGAUAACUGUGGUAAUUCCAGAGCUAAUACAUGCAACUGAUAUCCCGAAGGCGGUGUUUGGGCUUGCUUGCCUUGCGCUGCGCUGCUCUGACGGAUGCUUUUAUUAGACCAAGCCGCUGAGGACUUGAGGGUUCGCGCUCUCUUGUCUGACUCGUGUGAUGGUGACUCUGGAUAACCAAAUUCUGACAAGCGCACGUACUUCUCUUCUGAGCGAGACGGCGCUGCCACUUUCGAGUGUCUGCCUUAUCAGCUAUCAACCGUUCGUUAUGCGCGACCGAUGGCUUUGACGGGUAACGGGGAAUCAGGGUUCGAUUCCGGAGAGGCAGCCUGAGAGACGGCUACCACGUCCAAGGACGGCAGCAGGCACGCAAAUUACCCAAUCCCAGCAAAUGGGGGAGGUAGUGACGAAAUCUAACGAUGCGGGCGCCCUUUCUGGGGCCCCGCAAUCGGAAUGGGCACUUUCUAAACAACCUGUUGAGAACCUACU
rnacentral:rRNA from 1 species